rnacentral:lncRNA from 1 species
AAUUGAGUCAUAACUCUCAUACCCUUCUUAAAGUUGAGACGAUUCUAUCAUACGAAGGUAAAAAACUUUUAUAUAGUACGAAAGUGAACAUUUAUCAUUCGAUUCUUUUUUAUUUUCAUUAGAUGGCUCAACUUUUUUUACAUUUUUGUUUUUGUUUUUUCUCUUUUUAUGCUUAUCUUUUCAUAAUUGCUCUGUUUCUUUUACUUUCCUCUUCUUUAUUCUUGGCCUUGAGGUCAGCAGCCUCCGCCAUGGCUCCCGAGCCUCCGCAUCAAGGGCCAACCGCUCUGCUUCAAAUGCCGUCACAUCGAAGGCCUUGUUGUUGUUCUUCUGACUGCCAGAGGCGACUUCCACCUUGGACCAACUGUUGUGAGGAUUUGCGGAGAGAGAACAAAGGGUGCAAAGAGAGGAGGGAUUGAGAAAGUUGGUGCUGAG